rnacentral:sRNA from 1 species
AGAGGAGGAACCAUUAUGAACGGAGUUCAUAAUUAUGCAUGGUUCCGACGACAGGCCGCCGAGUAAAACGAGGGGGCAAUACAAUU